CCAGCUGGGUUGUUUAUGUAUUCAAUUCGCGCACAUUUUUCAGAGAAAAACAAUAUUUGCACAAAAUUUCAGAUUUCAAACCGACUGAAAUUUUACAAUUCCUUGGUAAUAAUUGCAUUCCUGCAUUUGGAGUUAUUAUUAAUAAGCAAGUUAGUGUUUCAGAAAAGGUGAAAGGCCACGUGUACCCCCUUCGGACAACACGAUGUCGUCGUCGCCAUGCUGCCAAGUUUGUCGAAAUCUGGUCAAAACCACAACCUCUUCGUCGCCGUCGACUUAUCCAUUUAAUCGUCGAUCCUCGCAUUGGAGGCAGCUUUGUUCCUUGAUCGGAUCACAGUUUCCGGUCCCCCCAUUUUGCUUGACCUGCACUGGCCAAUUGUCCCACCUCCUCGGCCUCAUCAAAAAUUACAAGAAGAUCGAAAACGAGCUGAAAAGAGGGGUCGCCACGUUUCAAAAAAAGCCAGGUCUCGCCACUAAAAUCGACCCAAAUCCGCCCGUCAACAAUACCAAAAUUACACCAAAAUUACGAUGUCCUCCUCCAAAAACAAUUUCCCCAUUAAAAAUCAAGCUCACCACGAAACGUCCCCUGGAAGUCGAGGCCGAAGAAAUUGAUCACAACUACGAUACGGAGUUUGAUAAUGGCUUAUCUUGCAACCAAGAUAACAACUCAAUUCCUGCGUCCAAAAAGUUGCUCAGAAAACCCUCGCAAAGUCUCGGUACUAAAAUCGACCCAAGUCCGCCACUCAACAAACUAACGAAAACUGUACAAAAAUGAUGUCCAAAAACAACUGCCCCAUUAAAAGUCCAGCCCGUCACGAAGAAACGUCCCCUCAAAAAAAUCAAGACUGGACAGGACGACGACGAAACGGAGCAUGAAAAUGGCUUAUCCUGCCCCCAGGAUAACGACUCAGUUCCUCCUGCCAAAAAGUCACGCCCAAAAAGUAUCCCAAAACCCGUCAAAGUUCCCAUCGAGCGCAGAUUCUACGAGAACUACGAAUUCGCCCCGAUCAACGACACCUUGACCUGCUUAACGUGCGGGUGGUGCACGAACAACCCGGCGACGCAGAGCUUCGAUAUCUGCAACCACAUCAAGAAAGAUCAUCUACGUGAUCACCGCUGUCCCAACUGCGACAAGAAAUUCGUCAGCUCAGCCGGCCGAAGAAAACAUCACGCAGUGUGCAAAUCUCUCGUCCCCUGCAAAAUCUGUGGAAAACCGGUGCCCAAAGGGAAACUCGAGUGGCACACGUGGUCUCAUAAAUCUCCUGAAGAAGCUCUCGCCGUUCAGAAGGCGAACAGUGAAAUGGCUUUUAUCCAGUGUGCAAAAUGCGGAAAACUUUACCACGGCGUCGCCAAAUUGUUGCAUCAUCAGUCCCUCUGCAAAAUUAAUUGGCACGACGAGCUGGACAUGAUUCCCGCUUCUUCGGAGGUCACGUGCCCGACAUACGGUCGUCCCGUGCUGAGAGAGGAACUUCUUCCCCGCCACGAGUGGACACAUUUGAACGCGUUCGAACAAUGGGGAACAAUUCGGAACGGGAAAAUGCCCAAAUUUCAAUUGAGUCAGAUCCUCCUGGAAAAUGGGAAAGUUAGCGAGGCGCAGAUUAGGAAGUGGAUGCAAAUUAGUUGAGAUGGAUUGAUUGAUAGCGGUGGAUUUUUAAACUUCGUCCAGAAGCCAAGUGGUCAAUUCAGCCGCAACGUAUCAAAAUUGCAUGAGGCGUAUCAUUUCAAAAAUCAGUUCCAUCCAGGCAAGAACUCCUUGUGUAACCGGCUUCCCCCAACAAACUGACCUAUUUAUAUUUAUGAUGAUAUUUCCUACACUUUCCUGUCUCCUUUUCCUCCUCCCACUUAUUUUGGGCAAGUCUGUGAAUUAUUUGGGUGGAAGUAAUUAUGGAACACAAGAAUAUUUUGAGUCGUCUAUGUACAACGUUAGCACAACAGCGAUAACCUGGGGAGAAGCGUAUUUCGAAUGUGUUACAACACAUCAUGGAAGUUUAGUUGCAGUGGAAACGAGUGGAGAAUAUGAAUUUGUGCGUGCUCUCAUGAUACGAUAUGGAGUUGGUCGAAUUUGGACGGAUGGAGUUUUUGAUGGUAAUACGUUUCGAUGGACGAGCACUGAAGCCGCGGUGGACCUUGGUGACUGGGCUGAGUGGGCUGAGGGCAACCCCAUCCUCCAGGAAAAUUAUGCAAUUUCUAUUCAAAAUAGUUUAUUUAAUCCAAGUCUUUGGUAUACGGAGGAAUGGAGCUCGACUCAUGCCUAUAUAUCGAGUCAACCACUCUAACUGAUGCAGCCACUCCAAGUGAGACAACCUUCCCAACUGAAGCAACCACUCCAAGUGAGACAACCUUUCCAACUGAAGCAACCACUCCAAGUGAGACAACCUUCCCAACUGAAACAACCACUCCAAGUGAGACAACCUUCCCAACUGAAGCAACCACUCCAGGUGAGACAACCUUCCCAACUGAAGCAACCACUCCAAGUAAGACAACCUUCCCAACUGAAGCAACCACUCCAAGUGAGACAACCUUCCCAACUGAAGCAACCACUACAAGUGAGACAACCUUCCCAACUGAAGCAACUACAAUGGAAGCAAGUCCACACAAAUUUAUUUCUUAACAUUUCUUUUACCUGUAAAUAAUUAUAUAUGUACCUAGUGGGCUGAUGCUAGCUGUAAGUUGCUCUUAACGGGAAAACCGCUGGAGAUAAUCAAAAUCUGAUAAGCGCAUUGGCUUCCCCGUGCGAUUUUACAUAAAUACCGCAUCUCCGUUUUUAAUUAGUUGCAAAGCAUAUAAGUAGGCGAACUCUUGAAAUUAGGCGGGCGACGAUAAUUUUUAUUAAAGAAAAUGCGAAGAAAAAUGGUGAAUAUGAAAAAUGCGACAGGAAUCGAACCUGCGCUUUCAUUUAGUCCAACGGACUAUAGAAACAUUCAUCUGGACCUGGCCCACUAAGAACAGUCGAAGAAAGAAUUUUUGAAAACCUACAAGCACCACACCCAUGCUGAAGGCGCUGGAAGCUAGAAUCCGAAAAAAUUCUCGAAAUUCAAACGGAAAAUAGCCUCACAGCUGACAUUUUCGAUGUAUAUUAUCCAAUGAGUGCUUAAACUGAACCUUAGGCUUGGGGCUUUGAAACAUAGCACUUGACGCAUGCUGACUAUCACUCAAAAUAAAACCAGGUUAAAGAAAUGCAGGGCUCUCUUUAAUAGGUACGCUAAAAAAAAGAGUAAAAAAAAUCCUCGUUCCAGAUGAGCAGAUUUUCACUGUGAAGGACUUUUUAAACAAACAAAAUGACUUCGUCUACGCAAAAUUGGUCAAAGAUAUCCCUCAAUAUAGAAAGAAGGUCGAACGUUCCCAUUAGCCAUGUUUUGUGAUGGUUUUUGUAAGUAAGAGCUGAUUAGGGAUAAUUUAUCCUCUUUUCGUCGAAACGGGGGGGAAGGUGAAAGGAAAGAAAUUCUUGAAAUACAUUUUUGAGUCCGUGGUACAUCUACUAAAUGAGAUCCAAGUCAAUGGAGUCGACUGGACCUCGCUACAGGACAUAGUACCAUUAAAUAGUGCAAAAAAUGAGCAAAGGGAGGCUAAAAAAACAAUUCCGAACUUUAUUUCCGCUUGGGAAUGUCGUCGUCCCUGUUGGAUUUGAAUCUCUGGACUAUGAAAAACGGUCAAAAUUAGAGGCAAAGGUGUGUUCUGAGCCUCGUAGAAGUGUGGCGGCUUUAAAAAAUUCUUUGACCCCUAAAUGGUACAAUUUGUCCAUGGAUUCACGCCGUGCUCCAGUCGAGGACAGGAGGUGACAUCUUCAGCGUUGCAUUAAUGGAAGGGGAGGAAAUUGUAAAAACUAAAAAUUGUUUUCUACUCAGAAAUUAACUGGCUUUCCAUUAAAAUUAACCAGAAAUGUG